AUCUAAUUAUAUGAUUCCAGUGACUUGCGCCUUAUGGUUUUAACUUUUGUACAUCAUAUUUGAAUCCAUUUGAUCUUCUUUUAAUUGGACUCAGGGAUACACCAUUGGAAACCCAAUAACAAAUCACUUUAGUGACUUCAAUUCAAGAAUUGCAUACACUCAUCAAGUAGGAAUUCUAUCAUAUGAGCUUUAUGAGGCCACUAUCUAAAAGCUAAGGUUGAUGGAGGAUUUGGCAGGGACAUGCUGGAGUUUUUGUUGAAAGGACAUGUGGUUGCUUAUAGAACCAUGGUUACAAGAGUUUCUUGAAAUAGCCUGAAGAUUAUUUGAUUGAUAGAGUUGUCGACUUGUGAUGCAGUUGCGUUUGCUGAAAGAUUAUCUAAAUGGCAGUGUCGAUAUGAUUAUGGUUUGCUGAUGUUUA